GGCUGGGGUCUUUGAGAAAGAAAUUCUCCCUUCUUCUAUGGUCAAGGAAGAGGAAGGUUAUCCAAUACUUGAGGCUAAAGAGUCCACUAGACUGUUUCUUCCAUGUAGUCAUUCGCUGGUUUAUUGAAGAAUUCAUUCAUUCACUAAACAACGGCUGAUCGCCUACAAAGCAUGAGGCUGAGCUUGGAGUCCACCGUGGCACAGUCCCUAACUCAGGGAAUGGACCCUCACAGCCCAGAGGGGGAAAACGAACAACAAGCGAAGACAGUUCACUCCCGAGAGGCAAGUUUUAGGAUAGAAGUAGGAGCGAGAUGCUGCAGAACCCCAGCCAGGUCUCUGGGGAAACACCUGGGGCCACACCAUCCUUCAUACCUGUAGAAUCUAACCUGGGGAGAGCCGUGAAACUCAAGACUUUUUGCAUCUUCGUUUAUUUGGAGCCCAAACUCCCCAAGCACAGUGACCUCAUAAAAGAUCCAGCCAGAGGAGGGAUGAGUGGCAUAGCUGGGCCGUGUCACUGUGUGCUCGGGAGCUCAGCUGCAGACACCAAAGGGGACCGCGUCCCCAUGGCUCGGCUCAGCCUCUCUGCUGGCCCGUGGCUCUCUUGGCCUUGCUGCCAUGGGGUUCCUUUCACUGAAAAGGUAUCUUGCUCAGCACAGGCUUGUGCCCAGCUCGCCUGCUGUCGCUUUGGCCGGGAAAGACCUCUAGCGCCUCCUGUGUGCUUGUUUAAACAGGGAACAAUGUUCUUCCGUGCUCCAGGAAAGAUACAGGGCAGGGGAAUGGCCUGGUGACAAGGAUGUCCGGGGCAGUGGGUUGAACUGUGUUCCCCCCAGAAGACAUGCUCAAGUCCUAGGCCCUGGUAUCUGGGAAUGUGACCUUAUUUAGAAUUAGGGUCUUUGCAGUAUAAUCAAGUUAAGAUGAAGUCAUACUGGGUUAAGGUCAGCUCUAAAUCCCAGAACUAGUGUCUUUACAAAAGAAAGGAGAGGGACAUUUGAAGCCAGACACAGAGAAGAAGGCCACAUGAUGACAGAGGCAGAGAGUGAGUGAUGCGUCUGCAAACCCAGUGACACUAAGGAUUGCCAGCAACUAUCCAAAGAGCAGUGAGAGGAAGGAAGGGAUUCUCCCUCACAGCCCUAAGAAGGAACUGAUCCUGCCUUGAUUUGGGGCUUCUAGUCUCCAGAACUGUGACAGAACACAUUUCUGUUGUUUUAAGCCACCAAGUUUGUAGUACUUUGCUAUGUCAGCCCUAGGAAACUAAUACACUCAGGGAAAAAAUCCUAAAUGUUGCAUAGCUUUAACUCUUAUAGUGGUCAGGCACACGCACUUUAAUGGUGCACACACCCCAUCCAAACUCCGAAUCGAUCAUUUACCAGCUAGUGUCUUUGAGUGUGUGAUUGGAGUUUCCUUAUGUGCAAAAGUAAUAAAAUGUACUUUUCAGAUAAUGUAUAUAAAGUGCCAGAAACAUAGCAAGCAUUAAGUAAAUGGUAGCGGAUGGUAGUAUGCUAGCCUCAGACUCUAUUCUCUGCAAUUACCAAGGAAGCCUUCCUCCUGCACACCCCGCUGCAUUCAGGCAGAAGCAAGCAGGGUGCUGUUGUUUCUAUAUUAUUGGGGGCUUCCGGCAGGAAGGGUGUAGCAGAUGCUCGAAGAUACCCAGAGCUACAGUCUGCAUAGAAGCAGGGUGAGGCAAAGCAGGGAGUUAACACAUCUCUGGUUAGUUGUGAAAAAGCCUCUAUUCAUUUAGGGUAGAAGGAAUCUUAAUCAAUUAUGAUGCAUUUAAUUAAAUGCUUCCUUAAUGUGCAUUUAAACAAUAUAGUGGCUGAGAUCACUGUUUGUUCUUGAGAGGGGAGUGUUUGUGUAUUCAUUUUAUCCAAAAGACACCUACAGGCUGUCAAGAAAAGAAACAAGAGGACCCCAGAAGGAGAGAGGAGACACAUCAUACCCUGGGAGGGACCUCCAAAGUGGGGUUUGGGCCAUGCAUAAAUUUUACAUGUGUAAUGGAAAAAAAUAAACCAGAUUUUAAAAAAAGAGAAUUCCAUAUUCUAUCAAGAAGCACCAAUUAUGACUGAUUAAAGAGACUUGACAUAGUCAAAUGAGCAAGAUAAAAGGAAAUGAAAAUGAAAUUAUUCUCCAAUAAAGGUAACCUACUCAGCAAGCACCGGAAAUCAAUAAGGCAGCAGAAGGAAGCAUUCCUUUUGGACAGUAGCAACCUCACUUUUUCCAGGUGAGUGGGUGUCCAGGAAGUGCCCACAGCGUUGCCUCCAAGAGAAUGAAUCACUUAUUGGGAAAAUGGCUAAAGAACUUAUUUGCCAAGACCAUGGAGACAUUUUGCCCAGGAACUGAAAAUAUGUCAUUUUCCACUGCUGCCCUCAUGUUGUCACUGGCAAGAAGACCUACUGCAGAAGCCAAGAAAAGAUUCCUGCCCCUUAAAAUGCCUUUUGGAGAACAGACCAUGGCCCAGCAUGGCUAACACACUAAGGGUGUCCCCUGCACUUAGAAGGCUCCAUGGAAAAUGCCCUCAUUUUAAAAUCCUCAACUCCACCCCUUCCAAAUAGGCAGAGCCCUUUACCUUCUUAGUAAAUGUUCAGCUACUGAGCCUCGGUUGGGCCAAGAAGCAUGUACUGAGCACUCCACACGUAGCAGAUAAGGUCUGUGGAGUGAAUGACUGUUUUGCUGAGAAAAUAAAGGGCCAAGUUCAUUCUUUAAUUUCUUUCCCUUCUCCCUCGAAGUUUUAUAUGU